CAAAUAUGUUCAUGCCAUGUAUCAAAUGUGUUUGUGUUUUGAUGUUUAUAUAGUAUUUCUAUGCUAUGUGAUAGCCUCGAUGAAUAAUUCUGCCCUCUGUUGGCGAAAAUAAGAAAUGAUGGUAGACGAGCCUUGUGUAUGAUUGAUGCGGCGGUGCUGAUGGGAGCGGGGUGGUUAGGAAAUUGACAAAGCCGCACACCGAACAGGGGGGGAUCCAUUAAACCAGCUGUCCGUCCCGGAGGGUACCUGCCCAGGAUAAAGGAUGAGGUGUGCUGGUGGAAGAUGCCAGCUGGCUGGAGGGAGACAAGGAUACUGAAGGAUUCUGUCAUCACCUGCGCCCUCAUCUGCCAGUGACUCCGCUCCCAGAGAACCAACUCUCAGCACCUCUGCAGCGCACAGCCUUGCCCCGCGCUCACCUGAGCGUCUACACGCCGAGCGGUACGCCGGCGCCACCGUGAGCUAUCUUUCCUCCUCCCUCCACCUCUCAGACCGAGAAUAAAGCCUGAACAGCUUCCAUCUUCAUCUGCUGAAACCUUGCGAACUUCAAAUAAAUUGCUUUGUACUCCA